UACGUAGGGUGCGAGCGUUGUCCGGAAUUAUUGGGCGUAAAGGGCUCGUAGGCGGUUUGUCGCGUCGGGAGUGAAAACCUUGGGCUUAACUCAGGGCUUGCUUUCGAUACGGGCAGACUAGAGGUAUGCAGGGGAGAACGGAAUUCCUGGUGUAGCGGUGAAAUGCGCAGAUAUCAGGAGGAACACCGGUGGCGAAGGCGGCCUGCUGGGGUCUUGGCUGACGCUGAGGCGCGACAGCGUGGGGAGCAAACAGG
rnacentral:rRNA from 1 species